rnacentral:rRNA from 1 species
CACGUAGGGUGCGAGCGUUGUCCGGAAUUAUUGGGCGUAAAGAGCUCGUAGGCGGUGUGUCGCGUCGGCCGUGAAAACCUGCAGCUUAACUGUGGGCGUGCGGUCGAUACGGGCAUCACUGGAGUUCGGCAGGGGAGACUGGAAUUCCUGGUGUAGCAGUGAAAUGCGUAGAUAUCAGGAGGAACACCGAUGGCGAAGGCAGGUCUCUGGGCUGACACUGACGCUCAUGCACGAAAGCGUGGGGAGCAAACAGG